ACCUAGGAUCGCAAGAAGCUGGAAUGGGAAGCAGAGCUAGGAAUUGAACCGGGGCACUCCACAAUAAGGGAUGUAGGCGUCCCAAGUGAGAUGGGAACUCCUGCGCCCAGUGCCCGCUCCCUCUGUGGUUUGUGUGAGCUGUGCACACGCAGCACCUUUAUUCCCCAGGUGUACUCUCAGCAGACUCAGUGCGUUUUCUGAAUGAGGGGUCAGGUCAGUCCUCAUUUCCAGGUGUCUUGUUGUUAAUCCUCACUUUCUCUGUGUUUUCUCCUACCCCCACCCGGCCCCCGAAAGGCAACCCUGCCUUCCAACAAAAAGCUCAAGCUUUCAUCAGACACAACGACUCACAAAGGUUUGUUUUCAGAUGAGGAGGACACUGAGGAUUUGUUUUCUUCUCAAAAUGCAAGCAGGUCAAAAGGUGCAUCUCUCCUGCCUAGCAAGCUGCCCACGUCAGUCUCCCUUUUCGAUGACAAAGAGGAAGAGGAUAACCUUUUUGGGGCUACAGCUGCUAAGAAGCCGACACCGUCUCUGCCAGUGCAGAGUGAGGAGAAGGCAGAGCCUCCAGCGCCCUCCACGAAGAAAGCACCCGCCUUACUGUUCAGCAGUGACG